ACAUGCAGUCGAACGGUAACAGGGAGCUUGCUCCGCUGACGAGUGGCGAACGGGUGAGUAAUAUAUCGGAACGUACCUAGUAAUGGGGGAUAACUAGUCGAAAGAUUAGCUAAUACCGCAUACGCCCUAAGGGGGAAAGAGGGGGAUCGCAAGACCUCUUGUUAUUAGAGCGGCCGAUAUCUGAUUAGCUAGUUGGUGAGGUAAAGGCUCACCAAGGCGACGAUCAGUAGCUGGUCUGAGAGGACGACCAGCCACACUGGAACUGAGACACGGUCCAGACUCCUACGGGAGGCAGCAGUGGGGAAUUUUGGACAAUGGGGGCAACCCUGAUCCAGCAAUGCCGCGUGAGUGAAGAAGGCCUUCGGGUUGUAAAGCUCUUUUGUCAGGGAAGAAACGGUGAGGGCUAAUAUCCUUUGCUAAUGACGGUACCUGAAGAAUAAGCACCGGCUAACUACGUGCCAGCAGCCGCGGUAAUACGUAGGGUGCAAGCGUUAAUCGGAAUUACUGGGCGUAAAGCGUGCGCAGGCGGUUGUGUAAGACAGGUGUGAAAUCCCCGGGCUUAACCUGGGAAUGGCAUUUGUGACUGCACGGCUAGAGUGUGUCAGAGGGGGGUAGAAUUCCACGUGUAGCAGUGAAAUGCGUAGAGAUGUGGAGGAAUACCGAUGGCGAAGGCAGCCCCCUGGGAUAACACUGACGCUCAUGCACGAAAGCGUGGGGAGCAAACAGGAUUAGAUACCCUGGUAGUCCACGCCCUAAACGAUGUCUACUAGUUGUCGGGUCUUAAUUGACUUGGUAACGCAGCUAACGCGUGAAGUAGACCGCCUGGGGAGUACGGUCGCAAGAUAAAU
rnacentral:rRNA from 1 species